ACAGCAGCAGCCACGGUAAUACGGAGGGUGCAAGCGUUAAUCGGAAUUACUGGGCGUAAAGAGUGCGUAGGCGGCUUUUUAAGUCGGAUGUGAAAUCCCUGAGCUUAACUUAGGAAUUGCAUUCGAUACUGGGAAGCUAGAGUAUGGGAGAGGAUGGUAGAAUUCCAGGUGUAGCGGUGAAAUGCGUAGAGAUCUGGAGGAAUACCGAUGGCGAAGGCAGCCAUCUGGCCUAAUACUAACGCUGAGGUACGAAAGCAUGGGGAGCAAACAGGAUUAGAUACCCCCGUAGUCCCUGUCUCUUAUAC
rnacentral:rRNA from 1 species